UGGAGCGAGCGGGGCCAGAGCAAUGGCCUAGAGGCACCAAACUCUGGCGGGAUCCUGGGGCGUUGCCGGCCUGGAAAACUCCACUGAGACCUAGGGAGCACUCCACUCGGGGAGCAGGGCGGUGCGGAUCCGGAGGCGGACGGAAACGGAGGCAGGCGGAACCGGACCUGUUUUGUCUGGAUGUGAAGUUUCACCCCAACCACAGGAACCUUGUGGAGCGGGGAUUUUGACAUUUAAUGAUGUGACUGUGAACUUGUCACAGGAGGAGAGGGAAUUCCUAGAUCCUGCUUAGAGCACUUUCUACAGACACCUGAUGGUGGAGAAUUACAGCUGUCUAAUUUUUGUUGGUGCACAACCCAAAUGUACAUUAGUCUAUGAAGGCGUCUUGUAAAUGUGGUUCAUUUAUAAAAUGGACUUCUACUCAGCGGUGAAGGAAAAGGAAACCAAGGAAUUUGCAGGGGAAGUGGAUUUUCAGUGAACUGAAAGGAAGCUUCUUGAAAGAGAAGAUUGUUUAUGUAAGAUUGCCUGGAAAGGAGACUCAGAGGGAGGAGAGAGAUGACUUCUUUUCAGAAUCCAUUGACAUUCAAGGAUGUGUCCAUACACUUCUCCCAGAAGGAGUGGGAAUGCCUAGACUCUGCUCAGAGGGCUUUGUACAGAGAGGUGAUGUUGGAGAACUACAGCAAUCUGGUGUCUAUAGGUCUUGCUGUUUGUAAGCCUGUUCUGGUCUCCCAUCUGGAGCAAAGCAAAGAGCCCUGGAAUGUGAAGAGAGGGGAGACUGUAGCCAACCAGGUAGGUUUAAGUGUAUGAAGGGGGGCCCAGGUGAGCAGUUAUAAGUAAAGAGGGAUAAAGACACGAGAAUGGUUUUGUCAUAGUCUGUUUCAGUAGAGAUUUUGAUAAUUAAAAUUACAGCAGUUUCAUCCAGCUUUGUCCUGUGGUCAACAUCAAAUAACUUCUUUUAUUUUACAUGAAUUGUGUGGCAAUUACUAGUACGCAAACAUCACUUGAUUUAAUUAUUUAAUUUUUCCUUAUCUCCCAUGUCACAUGUCUUGCCAAUGCAAGCUAAUAGCUGACUUUUUCCUGUGUGUUCUUCCUAUAAUACGUUUUUUUCACUGUGUAUUUUCUAUUCACUUUUUGUGCAUUUCAUAAAAAAA